rnacentral:rRNA from 1 species
CAGCCGCCGCGGUAAAACGUAGGGUGCAAGCGUUAAUCGGAAUUACUGGGCGUAAAGCGUGCGCAGGCGGUUAUAUAAGACAGAUGUGAAAUCCCCGGGCUCAACCUGGGAACUGCAUUUGUGACUGUAUAGCUAGAGUACGGCAGAGGGGGAUGGAAUUCCGCGUGUAGCAGUGAAAUGCGUAGAUAUGCGGAGGAACACCGAUGGCGAAGGCAAUCCCCUGGGCCUGUACUGACGCUCAUGCACGAAAGCGUGGGGAGCAAACAGGAUUAGAUACCCCUGUAGUCCCUGUCUCUUAUAA